rnacentral:tRNA from 1 species
UGGGGUGUAGCCAAGCGGUAAGGCAGCGGUCUCUGAAAUCGUCAUUCAAUGGUUCGAAUCCAUUCACCCCAGCCA